GACGAACGCUGGCGGCGUGCUUAACACAUGCAAGUCGAACGGAAAGGCCCUGCUUUUGUGGGGUGCUCGAGUGGCGAACGGGUGAGUAACACGUGAGUAACCUGCCCUUGACUUUGGGAUAACUUCACGAAACUGGGGCUAAUACCGGAUAGGAGCUCCUGCUGCAUGGUGGUGGUUGGAAAGUUUCGGCGGUUGUGGAUGGACUCGCGGCUUAUCAGCUUGUUGGUGGGGUAGUGGCUUACCAAGGCUUUGACGGGUAGCCGGCCUGAGAGGGUGACCGGCCACAUUGGGACUGAGAUACGGACCAGACUGCUACGGGAGGCAGCAGUGGGGAAUAUUGCACAAUGGGGGGAAGUCUGAGGCAGCAACGCCGCGUGCGGGAUGACGGCCUUCGGGUUGUAAACCGCUUUCGCAUGUGACGAAGCGUGAGUGACGGUAAUGGGUAAAGAAGCACCGGCUAACUACGUG
rnacentral:rRNA from 1 species